GAGUUUGAUCCUGGCUCAGAUUGAACGCUGGCGGCAGCUUUACACAUGCAAGUCGAACGGAUCAAGAAGCUUGCUUCUUGGUUAGUGGCGAACGGUGAGUAAUAUAUCGGAACGUACCCGGCAAUGGGGGAUAACGUAGCGAAAGUUACGCUAAACCGCAUAUGCCCUGAGGGGGAAAGCAGGGGAUCGAAAGACCUUGCGUUGUCGGAGCGGCGAUAUCGGAUUAGCUAGUUGGUGGGGUAAAGCCUACCAAGGCGACGAUCCGUAGCGGGCUGAGAGGAUGAUCCGCCACACUGGGACUGAGACACGGCCCAGACUCCUACGGGAGGCACAGUGGGGAAUUUUGGACAAUGGGCGAAAGCCUGAUCCAGCCAUGCCGCGUGAGUGAAGAGGCCUUCGGGUUGUAAAGCUCUUUCGGACAGAAAGAAAUCCUAUCCGCUAAUACCGGGGGGGAUGACGGUACUGUAAGAAGAAGCACCGGCUAACUACGUGCCAGCAGCCGCGGUAAU
rnacentral:rRNA from 1 species